rnacentral:rRNA from 1 species
UACGUAGGGUGCGAGCGUUAAUCGGAAUUACUGGGCGUAAAGCGUGCGCAGGCGGUUUUGUAAGCCAGAUGUGAAAUCCCCGGGCUUAACCUGGGAAUGGCAUUUGGGACUGCAAGGCUUGAGUGCGGCAGAGGAGACUGGAAUUCCUGGUGUAGCAGUGAAAUGCGUAGAUAUCAGGAGGAACACCGAUGGCGAAGGCAGGUCUCUGGGACUGACACUGACGCUCAUGCACG